rnacentral:sRNA from 1 species
ACUAAUUAGAACCACAAGGGGCGGGACCUCCUGCCCUCUCGAUUGUCGGGAAGCAUGGACAGACUAUACGACAGGCGGUCGUUCCCCGCCUGGCGCAAAAAAGAGCUUCUCACCAAUCUUCGAGGGUAGCGCUGCUACCCUUUUUUUUCUG